CCUAUCCAAUAAUUUUUCCCGAAUUAGAGAGCUGCGCAUGUGUUCUGUGGUACGCAAAUAUUUUCCCUCUUCCUCUCGGAGCUUGCAUCUCUUUCGCUCCCGCUUGUCGAGAUUUAUGAGCCAUCUCCCACCUGACGACGAUGCUUCCUCCGACGUAUCCAAUGAGUGCUUCUUAUACACCAUUGCAUCUCUUCAAAUACACCGCUGUUUUUUUCGUAUCCAAUGGGUGCUUCUUAUACACCAACGAUCUGUUUUCCUCUAGUCUCGCUACCUGAAUGCGGGCGAUCGUAAAGGAUUGGAACCCUAGCAACUUUACCAAGCCCUCCUCGUUUUAGAGAUAUGCUGAUCAGGAGUCGGAGCGAAGCAUAAGAACUAGAAUCAGAAAGAAGUAAUUGCAAUGUGAUUCGCGGGAUCCCGUACACCGCGCCGUCCGCUCCCUGCUAGCAUUGUGGCAGGACGAGGGUCAUUAACAAGAUAUUCGAAACGAAUUCGGCGUCAUUGACACUCUAUGCGGUAACUCUGUGUUUCGCUCAUUGACAAUAUUCAUUUGGAUGGCCUAACCAUAAAAUCAGAGCAGUUUUGAAAUUUUUUAGCUGCGUUAAGUCUUAGCAGUCUAAAAUUAGUUGGACUGCUGCGAUCGACGAACUGAACCUUUAUAUUGGAAGGCCGGCUGGGACAGGUGAACUAGACGAAGGAUGUCUUUGAAGGCUGCUCUGCUCCCAGCCAUUCUUUGAUUCCGAUAUGUGGAUGAACGUGCUUCGUCGGGACAGCCGUUGGCGUCUUCUCUUCCCUUUUCAGGGUUGUAUUCAAGGAUGAGUGGUGCUCCUACUGUAUCUCGCACCGAGGUGGUGAUUAUCCUCGACGAUCCUCUUCCUCUGCAACCUCCCUUCUCCUACCGCUAUCGCCAUAUUUGUUGUCUGUUGUCUUCCACAACCACCAAAUCUUGCUUGUUGCCGCCUAGUUGCAGCCACUUCCCCGUUCUUCCCCCUCAAAGGGCUGUACUCGACAACGAAAAGAUCCCUGCUGCUGUCCAGAUCAGACCAUCUCUCUUCAGGUUGUUGUCCAAACCACGCCAUCCUCCUUCCGGCUUUUGUCCAAACUAUCGACGAUCCCUCCUACCCGCCGACCUGACUUCCAGCCGCUGGUUUUCUAGCUCCAGAACCGCAGCCACCAAGUGCCAGCACACUUGACGCUCACCUCCUGUCCGCUAGACUUGUCGCCCAUCUAGAGAGGUUGUGUUAUUUCCUUUGUUUUAUUUCUGCCUUUAUUAUUGUUGUUUAUUGUUUAUA